UACGUAGGGUGCAAGCGUUGUCCGGAAUUAUUGGGCGUAAAGAGCUCGUAGGCGGUUUGUCGCGUCGAAUGUGAAAACCCGGGGCUCAACCCCGGGCCUGCAUUCGAUACGGGCAGACUAGAGUUCGGUAGGGGAGUCUGGAAUUCCUGGUGUAGCGGUGAAAUGCGCAGAUAUCAGGAGGAACACCGGUGGCGAAGGCGGGUCUCUGGGCCGAUACUGACGCUGAGACGCGAAAGCGUGGGGAGCAAACAGG
rnacentral:rRNA from 1 species